AAGGAGAAAUCGAGGAAAUAUUUAAAAUAACAUGGAUGAAAUUAAUGGGAACUUUGGGAAGUUAUGAUGAUGACAUAACAUUGUCAUUGACCAUAGUAGGAAUAACUCAUGGAGGAACCAUGUGGAGACGGCUUGACUUUGGAGUUUAGCACAAGGCGUGUACAUAGACAGCUAUCUAAAGCUUGAAGCAAAUGAUGGGACCUGCACCUCAGUCCACUCGAUGCUGAGUUAGCUGCUGGGAUGGUAAUGCUGAACGACAGCCCAAAGCUUGUGUCAAUGAAUCAUGCAUGAUCUCUCCGGGAACCAUGGUUCAUCCACCCUUGUACCGCCAGCAUUUCCAUGAGAAGCCACAGUAUGAUCUGGAGCAGUGCUUCACUGAGCCAGUGAGGAAGAGUAAUACUACUGCCUGGAGGAGAUUGCACCUCAUACCUGGGCGUUUCAAGUAAUCCUCUAUGUAAAGUAGAUGUCUCAAACUGAUUUUUGAUGUCGUGUGCUUCAAAAUUCCUCGGGUAUCUAAUUCCUGUGGUUGAGUAAUCAGAUCUUGCUGGAUUGCUGCCAAGAUGAUGAUUCACAGGAGUUCUUCCCACAGGAAUGCUCCCACGAGUGUUCUCAUUAUGAAUGAAUAAUCCUCUGGGGGAAAAUGUUGUUUCUGCUCUCUCUGUUUGAAGGCCUGACGGUAAACUAAUGUUUCCAGAAUAACAAACAUGUGUUGCAGAUCUCGGCAUAAAAGGAGAUGGUGAGAGAGCUGGUGCAGAAUAUGGUCUUGUUGGCUGAGAAGGUGUAUCAUCAAGAAGCUUUUUAUGUUCUCUACUCCAUUGUUCAGCCAAGUCUUUUGCCACCCUUGAUCUCAAGAAGCAAAGGAUUGGAUCUUUUAUGAUGGCAUUCCAAUUGUUUAAUCCAUGUCUUCUCACUCCAAUCCAAAGAAAAUCCAACUCUGGUUCUGACCAUGGAGCUAAAAUCCUCCUGGGCUUAUCCGAUAAUGUACUAUGCCAUGCAUGCGUAGCAUCAUUAAACAUC